GUCGGGCUGUCGAGCCCUGGAGAACCUGGCCAGUGGGGGUUCCUUGCUUUGUGCACUGCUGUCCUCGAAGCAAAGCUCAGCCCUGGUGACAGCAUGCCUACAUCACAGCACCUCUUGGUGUGGCUCUGUGGCCCCAGUUUACAGAGGUGGGGACCGAACCCAGGAAGGACACGAAAGACACUCAGAGCUUGAGACUACUCAGGACUUUGCUUUCCAAAAUUCAAGUUCAUUAGAUCAUCAGAUUUGCUCAGCAGUCAAUAUCAGCCAUGUUCCUGACACUGUACUGAACCCAAGAGAGAGGGGGAAGAGAGAGACAGAGGCAGACAGGAGGGCUGUUUGGAUACCAAAUGAGUUACUUCAAGCAGAGCAGAGCUUGGUCUACAGCAAGCUGUUGAUGUCAGUGGACCACAUCUCCACGAAUGCUGCGCUGCACAACAAGCAGAGGUUGGCAUCCUCCUUGGUAGUUAAGCUCCUGUGAUAUCGUGAAAUACAUAUGUGGUCUGCUUCCCUCCAAGAAUCCUCCAAAAUGAUUGCUUCGUGAGACUGGCUCAGCCCAGGCAGAGAGCAGCAGGCCCAGGUGCGGCGAGGCAGCGCAUGAGGCCCAGCGUCGUAUGAACCUCGAGGUCACUCCAGGCCUCCUGCUCCCCGGAGGGGCAGAAGUGCACCGCGGUCAGGAGCCAGGCUUCAGGGUCUGAUUUUCCUGUUCGGAGUCCUCUCUUUGCCAGUUGCUGGCUGUGGAAGUUGCUCCAGGACACACAGAUUGGCGUCACGUGGGCUGAGAUGAGGUAAAGCCAUCAGGAGGCCUGGUCAGAAGGAGUGAGCAGCGUACCUCCCACCGCCAGGAAAAGCCGAACUCUGAGUUUCCUCCCCAGGGCUUUCCCGAGGGGCAGCCCAUGGCUAAGAUUCCAUGUGGAGAUCUGGGGACAAAGCACUGGCCCCAUGCCUGAUGCUCUCCUCAGUUCUCCUGUAAAGUGGCCCUUAACUGAAGGGGCCGAGCCAGGGUUGCUUGGCUCUUGGCUCCUUCCUCACCUGCUUCUGUGACUGGGGGCGAAUCUGGGUCAAGAAAAACCUCAGUGACUGGAAACCUAAACUGGCCCCAAAAGACUUGUACCUUCCUAAUCGGAAAGAGGGAGCCGUUUAUGGGCUGCUUUCCACCUGAGGCUCCAAACGGCAUGCAUUUGUUCUGAGCAACUAAUUGGGGAGCACAGAAAGCACAGAGGCUAUGGUAGUAAUAUAAACAAGGGCAGGAUAUUAAUUAAGUAGUUAAUUUUAAGAGCUGUAGUCUUUUAAUGCCUUAAAAAACUUUUCAGUGCAUUACUGCAUUGCCACGAAUUCACCUGUUUCUAAAGAGAAAUGCUGAAAAGGAUAAUUUCAUCGAGUGUGUAGUUUGCACAGACUUUACACCAUGGCAUCCUCUUUGUCCCUGUCCCACGGGUGGGGACAAGGAGGUCCGAGCUGUCACACAGCUGCCCGAGUCCACAGAGCCCCCAUUCCUUGCCAGUCAGCCUUGCUACUUUUUCACGUACCAGGGGACACAGCCAGAGGGCCUUUGAGAUUAAACUAGUGGAUCCCACUGUCAGCACCGGCACCCUCAUGCCUUCCAGAUGUGGCCGGGAGCCCGCAUCCAGCUGUGGCCCAAGAAGGGACACCAGGACUGCAUCUGAAG
ensembl:lncRNA